rnacentral:rRNA from 1 species
GACGAAGGGGGCAAGCGUUGUUCGGAAUUACUGGGCGUAAAGCGUGCGCAGGCGGUUUUGUAAGCCAGAUGUGAAAUCCCCGGGCUUAACCUGGGAAUGGCAUUUGGGACUGCAAGGCUGGAGUGUGGCAGAGGAGACUGGAAUUCCUGGUGUAGCAGUGAAAUGCGUAGAUAUCAGGAGGAAUACCGAUGGCGAAGGCAGGUCUCUGGGCUGACACUGACGCUCAUGCACGAAAGCGUGGGGAGCAAACAGG